rnacentral:rRNA from 1 species
UACGUAGGUGACAAGCGUUGUCCGGAUUUACUGGGCGUAAAGAGCGCGCAGGCGGUCGUUCAAGUCGAGUGUGAAAGCCCCGGGCUCAACCUGGGAAUGGCGAUGGAUACUGGCUCGCUAGAGUGCGGUAGAGGAGAGUGGAAUUCCCGGUGUAGCAGUGAAAUGCGUAGAGAUCGGGAGGAACAUCAGUUGCGAAGGCGGCUCUCUGGACCAGCACUGACACUGAGGCACGAAAGCGUGGGGAGCAAACAGG